rnacentral:sRNA from 1 species
AUUAUAAAAUAUUUGAUUCGUAGGUUUCGUUUCGUUCUCUUCCCCAGAACACUUUUAUGAUGUCAUUACGUUUUACACUGCAAACGUAUAUAGCAGCACAAGGUCAUUUGCCGCCCACACUUGGUAUGAGGGCUACAGUUGGAGCAUUGCGAACUGUCCGAAAUGUGAUGUCCAUGUGGGGUGGACAUACUAUGCUAUGAAGGAUGAGUUUAAGCCAUUGAAGGCUCAAAUUUCAACUUUUGAUGGACUCAGUAUGGAUAAGUUGUAUUUCAAGUUGUCACUCGAUGCAAUGAAGAAGUAAAGUUUGAUGCUAGAAAUCACAAAGUCCUGAUCAACAUGAAGGAACAUGGGCACAAAAUAGUACAAUAUUUAGAGUUUUCUUCUAAUUGAAACUGUCCAGGUAGAGUUGAGCCUUCAGCGCUUGGAACUCUAAGCCAGCAAAAGUGAACAGAGCUC